rnacentral:misc_RNA from 1 species
GAUCGAGUUAGACUGGAUCCUUCUAGGCCACUAAGCAAGCGAAAGCAUUGGGUUGUUGCUGAAAUUCUGAAGAAAGCACGGAUUUAUGUGCCACCAUCCGCUGAUAACCCUGUGGGUUUAGAUAGCAAAACUGAAGUGCAAACUUCUUCAACCUCUUGAGCUUAGAUCAAAUUCAAUGUGCCUUCUGGGUCGAUAUACAUUUCUUUCAAGAUACCUGGAAAUCAAGAUAGCCAACUCCUAAAGAGUUGCUAAGAAAGGAGCAUUCAAGAUGGUUCUUUGUUUACUUCCAAUUUUGUAUGCUAUUCUGUUUCAAAAAUAGCUGGAACUCCAUGUUGGUAACUUGUUGAUGAUGAGAAUUGAUUUUUUUUGCAUAUUCUGUCUCAAUAAGUCUUUCAGGAACUCCUUUUCCCCCUCG